UAAUACAUAGGGGGCAAGCGUUAUCCGGAAUUAUUGGGCGUAAAGGGUGAGUAGGCGGUAUGUAAAGUUUGAGGUUUAAUCAGGGUGCUCAACGCUCUGUCGCUUCAAAAACUGGCAUACUAGAGUUAGGGAGAGGCAAGUGGAAUUCCAUGUGUAGCGGUAAAAUGCGUAAAUAUAUGGAGGAACACCAGUGGCGAAGGCGGCUUGCUGGUCCUAUACUGACGCUGAGGCACGAAAGCGUGGGGAGCAAACCGG
rnacentral:rRNA from 1 species